GCGAGGAAGGAAACUUCCACA
rnacentral:sRNA from 1 species